UACGGCCGCAAGGUUAAAACUCAAAUGAAUUGACGGGGGCCCGCACAAGCGGUGGAGCAUGUGGUUUAAUUCGAUGCAACGCGAAGAACCUUACCUGGUCUUGACAUCCACAGAACUUUCCAGAGAUGGAUUGGUGCCUUCGGGAACUGUGAGACAGGUGCUGCAUGGCUGUCGUCAGCUCGUGUUGUGAAAUGUUGGGUUAAGUCCCGCAACGAGCGCAACCCUUAUCCUUUGUUGCCAGCGGU
rnacentral:rRNA from 1 species